CUGUGGCGGCGAAUGCGCCACUGUGUUUUGCACUGUGUGGAUUCCGUGCGGUGUCGGUCCGAGGGGCUGAAUUUCGGUGAAUUUGAUAGCAAUUGAUUUGAAUUUUGCUCAGAUGGGUUGUGAAUUUAUAUUCAGCAAGUGUCACAAACAUGGAAAGGCAAGUUUACAAAGGGCAGGAGACUUAGAAAGGCUUCAAUUGACAUAGCCGAAGAGAGGCGAGAAGCCGAAGAUAGACCGACUCCAAACGAUGCCCAGUGCAAUCAUGCUUCUGGUGCGGAGUUGUCAGGAUGGAGUCCGAGGAAUCAAAGAAGGCAGAGGACCUGCGUAUGAAGGAACCAGCCCUGCGGAUGAAGUUCUGAGGUGCAUACAGAGGGAUCCCACUGAAAGACCAGGUGCAAUGCUGCAUUGAUAAGAUCCAGAUUCAAGAGCAUGGAUGCUACGAGAUCCUGUGAUUUGAAGUUACCAGUGUCACUGCUGCUACAAAUGACAUCAGCAACACUUCCUUUGGUGAAAGUUUAGAGGAGCAAACAGUUGAUGCUCUGUGUAGUCAAGCAGUGGAGUUUUGCCACAAUCAUGAAGCUGAUUAAAGGGACCCUCCCACCUUAACAUUAGAUUUGAGUUGAGAUAGCCAAAAUGGGGUCCCUGGCUCACAAUUUUCGGUUUCGGCACUCACAACA